CUCUCUUGGGAAAAAAAUGCCAGCUCACCAGCAUGCUUUGAAACCCAGAGGAAAGAUUCACUUUGGCACAGGUGAAGAUCGAGAUCACGUAUAAACAUCCACAGUUUGAUCUCAAGCUUCAGUGUAUAUCAACACCUACACAGAUGAAUGUAUGUGUUUGCAACUUCACCUCAAGCUGCUGAGGGACACAGUAAAACAAUAAGUAGGUUGAAUUUACGGUACAGCCACGUUGGUUUUAGGCAGAUGCCCAGAGGGAAUACGCCACAAGACUUGUUUGCUUCUGUUAGAAGCUUCCCCCACGUCCGACAGAGU
rnacentral:lncRNA from 1 species